rnacentral:rRNA from 1 species
AGAGCGAACGCUGGCGGCAGGCCUAACACAUGCAAGUCGAACGGACUCUUCGGAGUUAGUGGCGGACGGGUGAGUAACACGUGGGAACGUGCCUUUUGGUUCGGAAUAGCUCCUGGAAACGGGUGGUAAUGCCGAAUGUGCCCUUCGGGGAAAGAUUUAUCGCCAUUAGAGCGGCCCGCGUCUGAUUAGCUAGUUGGUGAGGUAAAGGCUCACCAAGGCUACGAUCAGUAGCUGGUCUGAGAGGAUGACCAGCCACAUUGGGACUGAGACACGGCCCAAACUCCUACGGGAGGCAGCAGUGGGGAAUCUUGCGCAAUGGGCGAAAGCCUGACGCAGCGACGCCGCGUGAGGGAAGAAGGCCUUCGGGUUGUAAACCUCUUUCAGGAGGACGAAGCUACUCGGGUUAAUAGCCCAGAGGGUGACGGUACCUCCAGAAGAAGCCCCGGCUAACUACGUGCCAGUAGCCGC